rnacentral:rRNA from 1 species
GAUGAACGCUGGCGGCGUGCCUAAUACAUGCAAGUCGAGCGAACAGACGAGGAGCUUGCUCCUCUGACGUUAGCGGCGGACGGGUGAGUAACACGUGGAUAACCUACCUAUAAGACUGGGAUAACUUCGGGAAACCGGAGCUAAUACCGGAUAAUAUAUUGAACCGCAUGGUUCAAUAGUGAAAGACGGUUUUGCUGUCACUUAUAGAUGGAUCCGCGCCGCAUUAGCUAGUUGGUAAGGUAACGGCUUACCAAGGCGACGAUGCGUAGCCGACCUGAGAGGGUGGUGGGCCACAGGGGAGGUGAGGCGGGGAAGGGAGACCGGCAGGGGGGAACGGUAGAGAAUAGUCGGCGAUGGGCGAAAGGCUGACAAAGGAACGCCGCAGGAAUGAUGAGAGACUUAGGAUGGGAGAACGGUGUUAGUAGUAGAGAACAAAAGUGUAAGGAAAUAUGAGGGUCAUGACGGUACCUAGAGAAGAAGCCACGGCUAACUACGUG